ensembl:rRNA 5S_rRNA 5S ribosomal RNA
GCUUACGGCCAUACCACCCUGAGAACGCCCGAUCUCGUCUGAUCUCGGAAGCUAAACAGGGUCAGGCCUGGUUAGUACUUGAAUGGGAGACCGCCUGGGAAUACCAGGUGCUGUAAGCU